rfam:Oryctolagus cuniculus chromosome 7, whole genome shotgun sequence.
CCAAAGGCCCUUUUCAGGGCCAAAAAUAAAAAAAUAAAAAAUAAA